AACAGAAAUGGAUUAAUUAGUGAUGAGGUUAUGACUAAAUCCCUGCACAGGACUCCCAAGAAGAGGAAGCAACAGAAACUGAAAUCAACUUUCAAUUAAGAUGGGGUUGGAGAUGAAGUGUGAGGAUCCACUGGAGGGCACAUUUCUUUGUAGGAUUAUGGGGAAUAAUUCCCUGAUCCUGUGAGCUGGAUCUCUGAGGAGACAGCAGAGGAAAGCAGCAAAAGAGAACAGGAAAGAGAAAAAGGAAGAGCCGCCAAAGGUUUUUGCUGUUGCUUUGGAGGCACACGGAGAAGUAACAGUGGUGGCUCUUGGUGCAGAAAAGGAGCAGGAAAACGAAGCCAAAAGAGGCAGCGGGAAGUUAUCCUGACAGAAGAGUUGAAGGAUG